rnacentral:rRNA from 1 species
AGAGUUUGAUCCUGGCUCAGGACGAACGCUGGCGGCGUGCCUUAUACAUGCAAGUCGAACGAGGUCCAUGGGAGCUUGCUCCCGGAAGACCAAGUGGCGAACGGGUGAGUAUCACGUGAGAAACCUACCCUGGAGUGGGGAAUAACCCGAGGAAACUCGGACUAAUACCGCAUACCUUCCAAGAGCCGCAUGGCUCAUGGAAGAAAGAAUUUCGCUCUGGGAGGGUCUCGCGACCUAUCAGCUAGUUGGUGGGGUAACGGCCUACCAAGGCAACGACGGGUAGCUGGUUUGAGAGAACGAUCAGCCACACUGGAACUGAGACACGGUCCAGACUCCUACGGGAGGCAGCAGUAGGGAAUCUUGCGCAAUGGGCGAAAGCCUGACGCAGCAACGCCGCGUGCGGGAUGACGGCCUUCGUGGUUGUAAACCGCUUUCAGCAGGGACGAAAAUGACGGUACCUGCAGAAGAAGUCCCGGCUAACUACGUGCCAGCAGCCGCGGUAAUA